rnacentral:rRNA from 1 species
UACGAAGGGGGCUAGCGUUGCUCGGAAUCACUGGGCGUAAAGCGCGCGCAGGCGGCGGUGUUGGCCCGGCGUGAAAGCCCCCGGCUCAACCGGGGAGAGUCGUCGGGGGCCGCACCGCUUGAGGGCGGUAGGGGCUGGUGGAAUGCCUGGUGUAGUGGUGAAAUGCGUAGAGAUCAGGCAGAACACCUGGGGCGAAGGCGGCCAGCUGGGCCGUCCCUGACGCUGAGGCGCGAAGGCGAGGGGAGCGAACGGG